rnacentral:rRNA from 1 species
UACAGAGGUCUCAAGCGUUGUUCGGAUUCAUUGGGCGUAAAGGGUGCGUAGGUGGCGCUGUAAGUCGGGUGUGAAAUUUCGGAGCUUAACUCCGAAACUGCAUUCGAUACUGCGGUGCUUGAGGACUGGAGAGGAGACUGGAAUUCAUGGUGUAGCCGUGAAAUGCGUAGAGAUCAUGAGGAAGACCAGUGGCGAAGGCGGGUCUCUGGACAGUUCCUGACACUGAGGCACGAAGGCCAGGGGAGCAAACGGG